GCCCUUCGGGGUACUCGAGUGGCGAACGGGUGAGUAACACGUGGGUGAUCUGCCCUGCACUUUGGGAUAAGCCUGGGAAACUGGGUCUAAUACCGAAUAUGACCACGCGCUUCAUGGUGUGUGGUGGAAAGCUUUUGCGGUGUGGGAUGGGCCCGCGGCCUAUCAGCUUGUUGGUGGGGUAAUGGCCUACCAAGGCGACGACGGGUAGCCGGCCUGAGAGGGUGACCGGCCACACUGGGACUGAGAUACGGCCCAGACUCCUACGGGAGGCAGCAGUGGGGAAUAUUGCACAAUGGGCGCAAGCCUGAUGCAGCGACGCCGCGUGAGGGAUGACGGCCUUCGGGUUGUAAACCUCUUUCAAUAGGGACGAAGCGCAAGUGACGGUACCUAUAGAAGAAGGACCGGCCAACUACGUGCCAGCAGCCGCGGUAAUACGUAGGGUCCGAGCGUUGUCCGGAAUUACUGGGCGUAAAGAGCUCGUAGGUGGUUUGUCGCGUUGUUCGUGAAAACUCACAGCUUAACUGUGGGCGUGCGGGCGAUACGGGCAGACUAGAGUACUGCAGGGGAGACUGGAAUUCCUGGUGUAGCGGUGGAAUGCGCAGAUAUCAGGAGGAACACCGGUGGCGAAGGCGGGUCUCUGGGCAGUAACUGACGCUGAGGAGCGAAAGCGUGGGGAGCGAACAGGAUUAG
rnacentral:rRNA from 1 species